UGGUUAUUUAGUGCUUAUUUACCAGGCAUGGGUUUGGGGUGAGGGAUUUCCCUAUUUUCCAAAUAUCCUGACUGUUUUAUCAUUAAAAAAAAAAAAGGCAAGGAUAAAUGAUUCUAUAAACCUAAUAACAAAACACAAGUCCUAGUGACUACGAGAUGGAAAAAUAUUUGAUAAACUAACAUCCAUUCUUGACAUGAAAAAAGCAGUAUCCAUAAUUCCCAUUUUAUAACCUACUGAAAAACCAGAAGUAUUGAUACAACCAGAAUUCCACUCCCCGUACACUAGAGCCCACUACUCAGCACUGUCGACAGUCUGCAGUCAGGCAACAGAAGGGACAAUGCCUACAAGGGAACAAAAAGCCCUAGGAGUCUUAUUAGAUCGAUAAUAUCUUGUUCUUAGGGAAGUUUAAUAAUUCAGGGAGAAUCAACAUCUUGAGGUAAUAUGUAAUUCAUAUAUUAAUGAUAAAAUACCAGCAGACAUUUUAGUCAAACAAGAACAAAGAAAAAGAAUAGCAAGGAAGUGUAGCAAACCCCUCAGAUACAAAGCUCCAGGUUAAAUGCACAGUGUGAGAAAGGUGGCAUUUCAUUUUAGUAGGUGAAAGUCAGGAUAUUGGCUAUGUUGUUGGUCAUCGAAAAAAACAGCUGUAUCCCCCUUAUACCGAAUCAGUUGCAAAUGCAUCAAAAAAAUUUUUUGAAAAAUGAAACUAUACCCCUAAAAGGAAAAGCGCUAAAUGACCCAGAUGAAAGAAUACGUGAAUGGCUUCUAAACAAUAGAUGUACAGCCCCACCAGCCAAUUCCCUGUGAGACAGCAUUCAUGCCCGGCAGCUGACAAAGGGGCCGUGUGACACCAAGGAGGUGGAGAACCACCCUCUACGCCUCAGAACAAGUGCUCUGGCAGCUCUCUGCACGCCCUCACCGUGCGGCCUGGCGGGCCCACUCCUGCACCACCUUAGAGAGUCCUUACGCGUCCUGGAAGAGUCACACCAGCAUGUGUAUAAAAGCAUCAGAACCACCGAAGUGACCAACAGCAGCAGGGAAACAGAUGACAAGAGUAUGAGGCGGGUAUUAUUUGAAGAGAUAAUGACUGAGAAUUUCCUAAAAGUGACAGAAGACAGCAAUCCACAGAUGCACAAAUCCCAACAAACCCCAAACAGGAUAAAUAAAGAGGAAUCCUGCUGUAGACAGGAGUGACACUGCUGGCUUCACAGGAUCAGUGGAGGCCGGAAAACCAGAAUGGUGGCUUCAUGGGCUGAAAGGAAUUACUGGCAACCUAGAAUUCUAAACCUGGAAAAAACAUACAGUAUUUGAAGAAUCAAGGUCAUCGAAAACAAAUCAAGUCUGAGAAACUUUCACAGCCAAGAGGAGCCUAAGGAGACGUGAUAACUACAUGUGAUGUACGAUCCUGGGGGUCCUGAAACAGAAAAAGGACAUCAGGUAAAA